rnacentral:lncRNA from 1 species
GCAGAGAACCAGAAAGUAAGCAUAAAGGUGAGAAACAACUGAAUGCUGUUCUUUGGCUUAGUUCAAUUUGUAGAGAUAGUGCUCAUUUUAACUCUGGCUGUCACUCUUUGGGAGCUGACAUUACUAAUACAAUCACGUUGCAUUGUAUUAUUCUGAUGUUGCUUAAAUAAUUUCUAAUCUACAGUUGUUUACAGAUAAUGGAAAUCCUUUCCAGAGCUAAAGAGCUUUUAUUUGAAAUUUAAAAAUACAUACAAAUUCAUAAAAGAUGGUUUCAACCUAGCACAUGUAGCUGGGAUCCUAAUUGAAAAGUAACGUAAAAUCUGUAUAUAUUAUUGAGUUUUGAUAUUCUCCAAUCAAGGAGAAGAGAUAAGAGAGUGGAGGAGUGCAGUGAUGUGGCAAUGUCUGUGACAGCAGCGGGAUAGGUCACAAUGGGGGGGAAUGUGUCAGGAGGCUAUAAAAGAGGCAGUGCUGUGGCCUGGGCCUUUGCUUAUGGCAUGCACCUGCUAGUGGCUGUGGCUUGGGUGGUCUUCAUCACUCAAGUAGGCACCAUGAAGUUCAUGAGUUCAGAGGUGAAGUUAUCCCCUUCCAUCCCUUCCUUAAAGUAUUUGGCUGUGAUGUGCGAGAAUCCUUCUGAGAAACCUUGGAAUCCUGUGAACUGCAGUUACAAAUUAAGUACCGGUGCAGUAAACGAACCAAUAAGGAGGACUGCCUUAACCCAGAAUUGGAAUCUGCUUACAAUAAAAUAAUUCACGUUCUUUUAUAACUUGGCUAAUCUGUUUUUACUGAAUCUUUCACCUCUUAUGGAUUGUACGAGGACAGCAACCCCUUUUUACAUUCCUGUGACUAUUAGAUUUUGGAAGACUUUGGAAUUGGUACUAAUUUGGGAUGGAUAAGUACUGACCUGUUGGUAGUGCAUUUCCUUGAAGAGGAACAAAAGUGUUACAGAAAAGGAUAGAGUUCUCACUGGAAAUAAUUAGCAGUAGGUUAUUUAUUAAUUGCUAUUUCCAUGUGGUACUUUAAGUUAAAUUGCAUACCUACUAUCCCAUCUCUGUCUGGGCGUGGGGUUCGAAUCAGUCAUUGUCUUGAACAAUUUUGCAGAUAUGUGAUUUGAAUUUAUUAAUGGCAUCCUACUAAAUAUAGAAGGAUUCUUGCAACAAAUAGUCAUUGUUUGAAGAACUGUGUAGCUAUUUUGUUCAUAGAAGAGAGU